AACUUCUUGUUCAAGCACUGUGCUAAAACUGUGGAAACUAAGGUUGUACCUUGGCUUUCAUAGUAAUGCUAGUAUGGUACACACAAGAAGAAGAGUAAAUGCACUAGAUCAGUAGAAAGACUUGGGUGGACCUCUUUCUUAAUGUCCAGUGUCCUAGUCUGGAGACUUGGUGCAACACUG
rnacentral:snoRNA from 1 species